GUCUCUUUGGAGACAUCCGAUAAAAUUGGAACGAUACAGAGAAGAUUAGCAUGGCCCCUGUGACAUGCACAAAUCGAGAAAUGGUCCAUAUUUUU
rnacentral:snRNA from 1 species